rnacentral:pre_miRNA from 11 species
GUUAAUGGGAUUUUCCUUUGUGCUUGAUCUAACCAUGUGGUAGAACAAUACAAAUUGAACAUGGUUCUGUCAAGCACCAUGGAAGGCUCCAUGCUU